rnacentral:lncRNA from 1 species
GAAGGCUCACCGGCCGACAGGCCACCCUGGUUCAAGGCUGCUGGGCGUGGCUUUUGCUCUGCGGGGACACACCCAGUGAAACCCAGGGCGCUCUCAAGGUGACAGUGAGGAGGGCAGUGGCUCUGGGAGACAGACCUUGCGACAUCCUGGGUAUUGAAGGAAUGGCAGCUGAAAUCAGGCUGAUCCGAGAGCGUGGGAUUCCGCGAAGGGACACAGGACAACCUUAAGUACACUCGCUACUGGACAAGAGAGGCCGAAGACCCGGCCUUGGUCAGUCACCCUCGGAAAGGAUUUUUGAAAAGAGAUCCUAUGGUUUGGAUCUGGAAUGUCCUCCAAAGCUCCCGUGUCGAGGAGUGUCCAGGGGUGGGCCUUGUGGGAAGUGAGUGGUAGCACCUCGAGGUGGAUUAAUCCAUUUGGUGGAUUCAUAGCUGAAGGAACCACUGGGAGGUGGUGGAGGCUACAGGCAGUGGGAUUGGAGGGAGUGGGUCCUGGGGGGGACAUGCCCUUAGGGACAAGGUCUUCUCUCUUCCUCCCCCUCUGCUGCUCGGAGGCAUGAGUAGCCCUGCUCUGCCACGGGCCGUCCACCAUGAUGUCCUGUCUCACCACAGGCCCAUCAUGCUGGGGCCACACAGCAUGGACUGAAAUGUCUGAAACCAGGAGCCAAAAUAAGUCCUUCUACCUUUUAAGUGGCUUUUCUCAGGUAUGUUGUCACAGUGACGGAAAACUGACCUAUAGAUGAGAAUGACGGAGGUAAAAGAUAAACAGAAAGCAGAGCCACUGAGCCACAGAAAGCAUGAAGAAGCCCCAGAGCCGGUGCCGGGACUCACCAGAGAGAUGCGUCUCUCAUGAGCCUGGUAAAGAAAGAAAGAGCAAACAAGACCCAGCACAGAAUGAAAAAAGUAGGCUGGGGCCAGGGCUCAGUGGGAGAG